rnacentral:rRNA from 1 species
GACGGAGGAUGCAAGCGUUAUCCGGAAUGAUUGGGCGUAAAGCGUCCGCAGGUGGCAGUUCAAGUCUGCUGUCAAAGACCGGGGCUUAACUUCGGAAAGGCAGUGGAACUGAACAGCUAGAGUAUGGUAGGGGCAGAGGGAAUUCCUGGUGUAGCGGUGAAAUGCGUAGAGAUCAGGAAGAACAUCGGUGGCGAAGGCGCUCUGCUGGACCAUAACUGACACUCAGGGACGAAAGCUAGGGGAGCGAAUGGG